UACGGAGAGUGCAAGCGUUGUUCGGAAUUACUGGGCGUAAAGCGCGUGUAGGCGGCCUGACAAGUCUGACGUGAAAGCCCGGGGCUCAACCCCGGAAGUGCGUUGGAAACUGUUAGGCUUGAGUACUGGAGGGGAAGGUGGAAUUCUCGAGUGUAGAGGUGAAAUUCGUAGAUAUUCGGAAGAACAUCAGUGGCGAAGGCGACCUUCUGGACAGAUACUGACGCUGAGACGCGAAAGCGUGGGGAGCAAACAGG
rnacentral:rRNA from 1 species